GAUGAUGUGGCAAAAGAUUUUUGAAAAAACUGCAGUUGAUCGGAAUCAAAGGAAAUACUGAAGGUAAUUUCUUACAUUUUAUCUGAAUUUCUAAGGAAAAUUUGUAUAUAGUAUAAAAAUGUAGUGUAUCACAUAUGUGUGACGCGUGGUAGCGAGAAGAUAAUAAGCAGUAAUAACAUAGGUCUAACAAUAAUCAUUACAAAGUAAAUAAUAUGUUAAUUAGGCUGUAUUAGUUCAACAGCUGCGAUGAUGGAAAUUUGGAGGAUGGGGGGGGGGUGUAAGUUUGGAGGAGAUUACAACAGAUGAGUUAUGAUAUUUAACGUCAUGGUGAAGAGUAUAAUGAAAUAUGGGAGACAGAAGAAAGGAGAGAAAUGGAAGCAGUACAAGAAAGGUAUCUAAGAGCAGUAUUAGUGACUGGAGAGGUGCACAUCUACAGUAGGAUAUUUAGACAAGAAACGAAGACGGGGAAAAUACUUCUGGGGUCAGGAGAAAGGUACAUAAAAUAUGAAGAUAUGAAGAAGAGAUUAGAAGAUCAGAAAACUCACUACUUGAGGAGUGCAGACGGCUCAUUGAUAGGGAAAAAUGAAAUAACAUGAGCCAUAGAAUAGCAAGAGAGAGAUUUAAAGGAAAAUAGGAACGAGCAGAUGGGAAAUGGAAAACAGAAACAAUCUUUCAUUUAUUACAUAUACAUAUCAGGUUACGCUACUCAACGUCGAGCUCUAUGUUGUGUUGAAGCGUACAACGUUAGGACCGAUGACAGCCUAUCAAUUAGGACGAAAGAAGGUAUGUACCUACGAGAGGAAGGGAAAGUCAAGAAGAUUAACAAAGUUAGGUUCGGAUUAGGGAACGAGUGGAGGAUGAGUAAACUCCGGAUGAAGAAAAGAAGGAAUGCGGUAUAUGUGGGAAGGGGGAGGGAAUAGGAGAACACGUUAUAGCGCAAUGUGAAUAUACAACAGUGGGUGAACGAACAGAGAAUCUUAUCGAUGAAGAGGUUAAUGGAAUAGGAUGGAUGAAGAAGGUGAUGGAUAAAAGGGGAUGAGUAAAUGAAUCCCAACAGGGAACAAGAGUCUAUAGCACAUUUUGGUCAACAUUGAGUGAACAGUAUAAUAUGAUUCUAAGGUCCCUGUAGAUCAUUUUACUACACACAAAUUGUAGAUUACAUCGCAGUAAGGAAAGACGAUAUAAUUUUGAAAACAAGAAGCGUGUUAGGCGUUUGGAAUUUUUUUUAUUAUUGUUCAUCGUCGUCUUUAAUUAUUUCGCUUCGUUGUAAUAAAUACCGAAAUAAAAUGUAUCAUUACGACGUA